rnacentral:lncRNA from 1 species
AUGCACAUUUAACUAAGUUAAUGCUGCCUUUCCUAUCACUGCAAAUUAGCCCACUAGUUAUGCACUGGGCUGUUGAGAACAUGUGGCACAAACAUCUGUCUGCAUCAGUCUUUACAAGGAGCAAGCCGUAAUCUCCUCCUGUAAUGCCAAAUAAAUGUAGCACCCAAUUCACUAUGAUACAUGUUCUUUCCCCCUAGGGAUUGGCCGGGGUGCCAGGGGAACAAGGCAAAGAGGGCAAAAGGGGACGGAGAGGAAAGACCGGGGAGCCUGGACUCAGAGGCCUGCCUGUGGAGGGGGGUGAGUCUGCAGUCCCGGGGGGGACUAGGGAGAAAGGAGAGAGAGGAGACCCUGUACGUAUUUUCUUGCAGUGACAUUUACAAUGCCAUCGUGUUACACAGUCAUUAACCAAGGCCUUCUCCCACAGGGUCAGCUAGGUGCUGAG